GCCUGGCUAGCUCAGUCAGUAGAGCAUGAGACUCUUAAUCUCAGGGUUGUGGGUUCGAGUCCCACGUUGGGCA